CACCCUUGAAUUUUUUUUUUUUAUCGUAAGCCUCCUUCACCUCCACUGCCAACAAUCGAGCUGCCACCACCAGUUGCCCGCGAAGCUAGAAGAAACCCCAAUCCUCAAAACCCUCCAAAAUGAGUCUACUAAGAAACGCAGUCAAAUCGAGCUUCCCUGUCAGAGCUUUUAACCUAAAUCAUGCCGUCGCAUUCUGUCACCGCCAAUCGCCGAAACUUUUUUCCACCGAAGCCGAGCGACCACCAGCUUCAGAGGACUCUUCAAUCGAUCCAUUUCUUCAAACUACCGCCACAGGUAUGGUAUAUGGGAAGUUGUUUGGCAUCACAAGGCAGACUUUGAGGACUGACGUUAUCAAUUUGCUUGAGGGGUGCAAUUUGACACUUGAUGACAUUAAAGUCAACUACAACCGCGACUUUUUGCCUGUUGGAAUGAUGAUACAAUUCCCUUCUCGUCUAGCAUUUGAUAAUGCAUUCAAGGUGAUUGCAAAAAAAGGACGCUUAUACAGAUUGGAGAAUGCUGACCGUUCUCAAUGGGAUUUUCUAAUGCCUCAUGAUGGAAAAACUCUUUUACUUGAAGGAAUCCCUCGAAAUGCACAACUAGAAGAUGUAGAACGCUUCCUGUCUGGUUGUGAAUAUGAUCCAUCCUCCAUCCAGCUGACUGUUAGGCAAGGACUCCCAGAUCCCAUUAGAAUUGCACGGUUACGGUGCAGUACGAGGACUGAGGCUAUGAAUGCAUUCAUUACAAAGAACCGAGGCUUCUGUCUCAAUAAUCAAAUCACAGUGCGUGUUCUCCAUUAAUGCUUCUGUAGCCCCCUGUUGGGUAUUUUGUUUAGGACUUUUUGGGGUACGACUUUUGAUAUGAACGGGACUAGAUUUAAUCUGUGUCUUGAUAUAACAUGAGAUUUGGGUAUCUCAAAUUUGCUGAGAACAUUUUAGAGCUUUAUUUUUCCAUAAGGCAAGAACAAUUUUUUAUAUUUUAAUUGUUAGAAAAGGCUUAAAACAGCUAUUCAGUUGCGUUGCUUGUAUAAUAUUAGAACACAAAAUUGUGGGGUGUUAAAAAAAAGCUCUAAAAUGUUCUCAGCAAAUUUG
rnacentral:misc_RNA from 1 species